AGGGGCGGCAGGGUAGCCUAGUGGUUAGAGUGUAGAGGUGGCAGGGUAGCCUAGUGGUUAGAGUGUAGAGGUGGCAGGGUAGCCUAGUGGUUAGAGUGUAGGGGCGGCAGGGUAGCCUAGUGGUUAGAGUGUAGAGGUGGCAGGGUAGCCUAGUGGUUAGAGUGUAGAGGUGGCAGGGUAGCCUAGUGGUUAGAGUGUAGGGGCGGCAGGGUAGCCUAGUGGUUAGAGUGUAGAGGUGGCAGGGUAGCCUAGUGGUUAGAGUGUAGAGGUGGCAGGGUAGCCUAGUGGUUAGA